AGAGUUUGAUCAUGGCUCAGAUUGAACGCUGGCGGCAUGCUUUACACAUGCAAGUCGAACGGCAGCACGGGCUUCGGCCUGGUGGCGAGUGGCGAACGGGUGAGUAAUGCAUCGGAACGUACCGUGUAAUGGGGGAUAACGUAGCGAAAGUUACGCUAAUACCGCAUACGCCCUGAGGGGGAAAGCGGGGGGAUCGUAAGACCUCGCGUUAUACGAGCGGCCGAUGUCGGAUUAGCUAGUUGGUGGGGUAAAGGCCUACCAAGGCGACGAUCCGUAGCGGGUCUGAGAGGAUGAUCCGCCACACUGGGACUGAGACACGGCCCAGACUCCUACGGGAGGCAGCAGUGGGGAAUUUUGGACAAUGGGCGCAAGCCUGAUCCAGCCAUGCCGCGUGAGUGAAGAAGGCCUUCGGGUUGUAAAGCUCUUUCGGCGGGGAAGAAAUUGCUUCGGUUAAUACCCGGAGUAGAUGACGGUACCCGCAUAAGAAGCACCGGCUAACUACGUG
rnacentral:rRNA from 1 species